CUCAUUGUGAAGUCAGAGUUACAGGCAAGGGAGCAACAGGGCUGAGGAGAUACCUGUUCUCCCAGUUUCACGGCCAGUACAAGGCCAUUCUUACACUGCUCGGGGGAGCCCCUCAGGAGAAGACACAUUUAAGAGUUUCCAGCAAGAAGAGUCAGGUCAUGCAGUCAGCUGCUUUCUCAGCCCAGCUGUGGGAAUGUAAACAAGUUUCUAACCUCAUUGAAUCUUAGGUUCCCUGUUUGGAAACAGAUGAGAUCCACAACAGCCAUUAUCUUAUUGGAUGGUUGUUGUAUGGCAGGGGCUGUACUGAAGAGUCACACACAUUACUUAGUCUUCCCAACAAUCCUGCAAGAUAUAGAACCUUGACAUGUUUCUCAGGCUGGUCUGAAACUCCUGGGGCUCAAGCGAUCCACCUGCCUCCACCUCUCAAAGUGCUGAGAUUACAGAAAAUGAAAGGAAUUGAAAUUAAGACAAGGGAGAGAUUGAAGAGUGGAAAGGAGAAAGUGGUUGAGGAACAGUGAGAGAAGUUGGAGAAGAAAGUAAGAAGAGGCCGCUUACCUGAUUUAAAAUUGGGAUGAUGCAUCUGAGAGCUCAAUGCAUGUCGGUGAUGAUGAAGGUGAAGAUGCUGUGAGUGAUGAUGAGGAGGAGGAGGAGGAUGUAAUUGAAGGAGCUUGGGCUUUGCCAUCAGUACAGCUGAGUUAAAAUGAGAAAGGGAGCAAAGAAGAAGAAGAAAGGAAAAACUGAAAAAAGAAACAUUGAGGCUCAUGUCUUGUUUUGUUUCUCAAAAGAUUCCAUUAGACUCAAUAUGUCAUUCUAAGUGCACCUGGAUAUAGCGCAGAUUUAGAUAACUGUCUCCUCCCCUUCUGACCUUUAUUACGACUACAAAAAUUCUGUGUGUGAGGGAUAAAUAAUGCAUGCUCUCAGCCAAGAAGGGAAAGAAGACCCAAGGAAAAAUUGCAGAAUAGAAUGGCAAACCAGGAAAACAGAGCUCAGUACAGAAGGGAGUUGGGCAGCCUCUGUUCCUGUUUGGCUCUGUCCUUGAAGAAAGUGAUAAGAAGUGCACAGAUUUUGGAAUUAAACAGACCAUGGUUUGAAGUCUGGAUCUUCCAGUUGUAACCAGGUGGCAUUGGGGCCUAUGGUUCAUCCUGCAAUAUCAGAGAAUACACAACUGUUGGAAGCUCAUUUGUGCAGAAGCACUAGUUAGACCAAGUCCCAGGAUGGUGGGGACUUGAACUGCCUCAUGCACAUUGUACCCAAGAGCCUGGCCCAUGAAGGUGAAUCAGUGGAUACUUGAAUAAAAAGAAGAAUAUGCGCUGAAGUUUUCUUUGAGGACAUUUUUUUUUCUUUCCAUAGUUUUGAGCAUCUCUGAUGUUUUGAGAUUUCUGCCAGUCUUUGAGGAUGUAAUGCUCAAUUAGACUUGUUCUCUGUCCUCAAAGAGCUUAUAUAAUAGUUAGUGAGCUAAUUCUCCUGUUUUGAGAGACAGGAGAAAAUGUUAUGUUAUAAUGAGUCAUUCAGACUCUAUCUACUAGGCCUGACUUUGUUACUUUUUAAAAAGCAUUCUUCCACUCCUGCUUGGAUAUCUCUGUAUACAAGACUCAGAGACACGUAUGACGCCCCUUAGGAGGGGUUCUGACGUGCAAAUUUCUGAGACCCAGAAGCACCUACCUUCCAUUUUCCAAUGCCCCAAAUUCUAUGAAAACCACGAGCACAUGCAUUCGUUCCCAUGUUCUCGGGUGCC
rnacentral:lncRNA from 1 species